rnacentral:misc_RNA from 1 species
GAUGAAGAACGUAGCGAAAUGCGAUAAGUAAUGUGAAUUGCAGAAUUCAGUGAAUCAUCGAAUCUUUGAACGCACAUUGCGCCCGCCAGUAUUCUGGCGGGCAUGCCUGUUCGAGCGUCAUUACAACCCUCAGGCCCCCGGGCCUGGCGUUGGGGAUCGGCGGAAGCCCCCUGUGGGCACACGCCGUCCCUCAAAUACAGUGGCGGUCCCGCCGCAGCUUCCAUUGCGUAGUAGCUAACACCUCGCAACUGGAGAGCGGCGCGGCCAUGCCGUAAAACACCCAACGUCUGAAUGUUGACCUCGAAUCAGGUAGGAAUACCCGCUGAACUUAAGCAUAUCAAUAAGCGGAGGA